AUUGAACGCUGGCGGCAUGCCUUACACAUGCACGUCGAACGGCAGCACGGGGGCAACCCUGGUGGCGAGUGGCGAACGGGUGAGUAAUACAUCGGAACGUAUCCUGUUGUGGGGGAUAACUAGUCGAAAGAUUAGCUAAUACCGCAUAAGCUCGGAAGAGGAAAGCAGGGGACCGGAAACGGCCUUGCGCGAUUGGAGCGGCCGAUGUCCGAUUAGCUAGUUGGUGGGGAAAAGGCCUACCAAGGCGACGAUCGGUAGCUGGUCUGAGAGGAUGAUCAGCCACACUGGGACUGAGACACGGCCCAGACUCCUACGGGGAGGCAGCAGUGGGGAAGUCUUGCGCAAUGGGCGAAAGCCUGACGCAGCGACGCCGCGUGAGGGAUGACGGCC
rnacentral:rRNA from 1 species